CGGCGAGUAUAACUUAUUAACGUUUGAACAGGCACUCGUGUAUGAUAAUAUCAGUUUAAUGUGCAAUGAUAUGUAAAUUUAAAUUACUACAAACAAAUACAAUAUUGUAACAACGAAGGAUAAUGAAAAAAAAUGGCGUUACGGAUUUUAAAUUAAAGUGGUGUAAUAAAACUGAUUAGAAUGCAAAUGUAUCAUGAGAAAUAUUCGUUAAAAUGUUAUCAUUAAAAUGUUGACAGAUUAAAAUUGAUAAAGGAUAUUUUGUAAACGAACAAUAUUUUUGACGAUUUAAUAGAAUAUCUUAUAAAUAAUAUGGAAUUAUGUUUGGUGGAUUGUAAAAACUGACGUAUAUCUAGUUUCGUUCAAGUUCAUAGACUUGAAACUGAAAUGAAGCGCAUUUCCUUAUUAGAUUUAAAUUAAAUGAUCAACACUUUUGUAUAAGAAUAGUUUGUAAAUUGAUAUGAGGAUAACAUGAAUUUAUUGAGUUUUUUGUAAUUUAAGUUCAUUAACUUAUUCCGAACCUUGACAUGAAUCAAAUUUGGACUUUCGAUUUUAUCUAUCGUAUACGAAGUUUUAAAUCUGUGCAAAACACUUGUUUAACCCCGCCUCCUGAAUAUGAAGGAUUUCCCCCGCUACAUGUUGAGGACCCAUUGAUGGCCUUCGACUUUAUUCUGCUUUUUGAUCGAGUUGUUGUCUUUUUAAUACAUUCCCCAUUUCCAUUCUCAAUUUAACAAUGUAAUAAAUGAAUAUUUAUCAAGCAAGGAAAGCUAUAUACAUCGUAGUAACACAUUGAAAUAGCUCAUAACCAGAAUAAAUAAAAACCAUGUGAAUAAAAAGAAACACAUCAAAAAGCUGUAAAGUGCAAUUUAAAAACA
rnacentral:lncRNA from 1 species